rnacentral:tRNA from 1 species
CCCCGGUAUGAACCUUCCCGUGCUUUUUAGAACAUAGAUGGCACCAGUCAGGUGACCAUCGAAACGUAAUACGCCGCGUAGACUUCGGUCACGACGGUAUGGCGAGCUUUCGCCGUCCACGUUUCUCUUUCUUCAAGAAGACAAAAAACCGUAUCGACCGGUUCCCCGAAUGGGCCCGUAGCUCAGUUGGUUAGAGCACACGCUUGAUAAGCGUGGGGUCGGAAGUUCAAGUCUUCCCGGGCCCACCAUUUACUUGAUGUGAAUGAUGGUUUGGGAUGAUGGAAUGGCAGUUGAUGCGGAUUGUUGCCGAACCCGGGAUGUGUCCUGGGCGAUCGAGCUGAUGGGGCUGUAGCUCAGCUGGGAGAGCACCUGCUUUGCAAGCAGGGGGUCAGCGGUUCGAUCCCGCUCAGCUCCACCAAAUCGAUUGGUGUUGAGACUGACGGCAUUUGUCUUUUGAAGAAAUACAAGUUUUGCAUCGGCUUUGAGCCUGAUGCCUGUUCUGCAUAUAUCGUGAAGAGAAGAUUGAUCUGGAGGCUUCCAGGUGUUUUGGGUUCUGCCCAAAGCGUCCGAGCCCAGUUCCUGUGAACCCAUGGAUGGCCUAGCCGGCCGGAUGUGGUGGAGGGAUUGGAGGUAGGAAGGAAG